GUGAGGAAUUUUCCGCAAUGGGCGAAAGCCUGACGGAGCAAUGUCGCGUGAAGGAUGAAGGCCUAUGGGUUGUAAACUUCUUUUCUCAGAAAAGAAUUAUGACGGUAUCUGAGGAAUAAGCAUCGGCUAACUCUGUGCCAGCAGCCGCGGUAAGACAGAGGAUGCAAGCGUUAUCCGGAAUGAUUGGGCGUAAAGCGUCUGUAGGUUGUUUAAAAAGUAUUCUGUCAAAGAUUAGGGCUUAACCCUAGAUAGGCAGAAUAAACUUUUAAGCUAGAGUUUGGUAGAGGCAGAGGGAAUUCCCGGUGGAGCGGUGAAAUGCGUAGAUAUCGGGAGGAACACCAAAGGCGAAGGCACUCUGCUGGGCCAAUACUAACACUGAGAGACGAAAGCGAGGGGAGCAAAUGGGAUUAGAUACCCGUGUAGUCC
rnacentral:rRNA from 1 species